rnacentral:rRNA from 1 species
GACAGAGGGGGUAAGCGUUGUUCGGAAUUACUGGGCGUAAAGGGCUCGUAGGCGGCCAACUAAGUCAGACGUGAAAUCCCUCAGCUUAACUGGGGAACUGCGUCUGAUACUGGAUGGCUUGGAUUCGGGAGAGGAAUGCGGAAUUCCAGGUGUAGCGGUGAAAUGCGUAGAUAUCUGGAGGAACACCGGUGGCGAAGGCGGCAUUCUGGACCGACAUUGACGCUGAGGAGCGAAAGCCAGGGGAGCAAACGGG